CCUUCCCGCCAUUCUCAUCCCAGAUCUGUUUCCCUCGUUUCCCCCCUCAUCGGCUCUGAUUUUUGGUCUUCUGGCUGUGAUUGAUUAGGGAUUUUGCUCUAUCAUCACGUAAUAUUGGAGGCUUGUGAGAAAUUCCGGUCGCUAUGGCUAUUCUUUUGUUCUUGCCCGGUUACUGCUGUUUCUUUUUUCCGCGGAGAUACAAAUUCAGGGUUCUCACCGGAUGAUAUAGGCCUUCUGCUAUUGUAUUACAAGUCUGAAUGGAUUCUUAAUACAAGACGGAUGGGGAAUUUUUAUGGUAAAGCGAGGAGAAUACGAUCUCUCCGGUUUGGUCCAAACGUGAGUGAUUUUUGGCUGCUACGUUAUGUAAUUUCAUCCAAGGAAGGUUGAUUUGAUUAGUGUUGUCAUGGAUGUAUAAGAUAUCGGGCCGAACCGUCCCUAUAUUAUUAGGGAGGCGGUUUCUGAUCGAUCUUUGUCAUCCGACCUUUGCCAUGACAGGUGCGCUUGCAUGGCAGGUCAACUACGUUAAUGAAAAAAAAAAGAUUUUUGGGUUUUGAGGAGGGAUCGCACGGGGAUUGCCCGGGAUCCCUUCUCUAUGGUGUGUGCCGUUUCCUCUCUUUCUUUAUCUCUGUGCAUAUUAUGCGUUGCUGCCCACAAUUGCUUGCAUCCUCAGGGAUUGCUCGCUCGCUCGUUCGUUCUAGCCCAACCUGUGCUCGUUUCAAGAUUCCGAAAGGUAUUAACAAUUUCUUUCAUCUCAAAUGAAUUCGUAGGUGAACAUGUCACGAAGGUACAGUCAAAACAGCAGCGUCGGUAAGUAGAAUAAUCAAAUAUUAACUCUGACUAAUUUUCUAUAAUUUAGCCGGUAUAUAAUCGUGAUUCGUUAAUUAGCAUCUUCCCGUUAGUAUUCAUGCGCCUUUAUGGUGUAGUUCCAUCUGAUUUUUUGUAAUUUUGUUGAGGUUUGUUAUGCUCAGGUUAAUAGCAACUAUAUCUUUAAGGCCCGUCUCAAAACCAACUUCUCUCACAGUUAUUCAGUCGCAUGCUAAUUUUUAGUCAAACUCCAAAAACAAAAUCUUGGUUCUUUUUUUUUUUUUUUUUUUUUUUGGUGUUUAUUUUCAAAAUUUGGCUUGGAUUUUGGAGCUCUUAAAAUUCGGACAACAAAAUAAUGUGAACAAAGAAGCCACAAGCGUUUAAUAUCUUAAUUUUCAAUAAUUGAGAAUAACUACCAAAUACUUAUCAAAUGGAGCCCGAUACUAGUUUUGUAGAGGUUCUGUUUGAAAUUGGCUAAACGAGUAACCCAUCUGUUUAAAAUUGAUUAAACGGGUAUUUCAUAGCGUUAGUUGGUCUUUGCGUUCAAAUUCUUCGCGUGAUCAUGAAGAUAGAAUAUUAUUAAUUUCUCUGCAAUUCAACUUCUGCUGAUCUUGCACAGAAGGGAUGUAUAUAUUUUCCAUUUUAACCCAAGAAUGAGUGCGUUGGGUUUGUGAAGGUUGAUUUGUUGAAUUUUUUUUUUUCGUAUACUUGGUACCAUCUGUAAGUCUAAGCUUGAAUAUAUCAUGGUCUGCAUUUUGUUAUCACUAUAAUGUAAACCACAUAGAAAUUGAAACACGGAUGAAGAGCCUGUUCUGGACUGGGCCAAGGAUCGCAAAGCUUGUUUGAUCUUCGUCAUUGCUGAGCUGCUGGAUCUGCAGAUUUCCGUUAGUGUUCUGAAAUGUCAAGUGGAAUUGUUCUGUCUUGGUAACAUAGUUUUUUAGCUUGUCAUUUAAUUAAGCGCAAAAACUCAUGCUGUGUUCAUUUAUCUCUUUAAUUUCUGUUCUCUGUUCUCUUUUCACCUUGUUUUAUUUUGGCUUCACUUUUUAUAAGAUAAAAGUAAAUGUUGUAUCUUAUCUGGUGUGUUCUGUUUUGUUACAUCGGUACUGAAUUCUUGUAGUGGUAGUUCUGUUUUUCUUUAAUGUUCUUUUGGAAAACAUCAUAUGAUAGCCGACACUGGCAUGUAUAAGCGUUGGGAAAACAUAAUAUGAUGGUCGUUUGUUUUUAGAUUGUUGUAUGUAAUAAACCUUCUUUUUGGAAGAUUUUGUUGCCAAAUGAGUUUUUUUUUUGUUCUGCCGAAUUGAUAUUGUAGUAACUUGGUAGUUAAGAACAACAGGAGAAUACUCAACUGUCUGAUUAAGAUUCAGCAGUAUAUAAGAUAGCGUCACCUCCUUUUCUAAAUAGCCUUACAGACUACUGUUGGGAUGUGGGACGAAAUAUUGUUUCAUUCCUGUACCCACAAUUUGCGAAUUAUAGUUUCAUUCGUGUUCCCACAAUUUGCUUUACAAUUUAUAAUAUUCGUUUUACAGGAAGGUCUCGUGGUUGAAACUUUUUAUGAUGUUAAUGGUGUGAACCCGCUAUUAAGUGGGGAUGUCUAUGAAGAACUGCAAAAUGUGAGCCGGGUCUGUCAUUUUCCCAUAUAUGUUUGCUUUGUUUUUCGAGUCACAUAUGAACCUUUACCAGUGUGUGUGCUGAUGAUGAUUUUUUUAGAAGUUUCAUUGUAAAUGUUUUUGGAUUCAGCCAAUUUAGCAUUUAUUUGGUCUGUCUUGGUUAGGUACUUUGGAUUAAUUAAAUUAAAUUGAACGGUUGAUCGGAGUUGAUGUUUAGACUCAAUUUGGAUUAGGGAAUCUGAAUUUAGUCUCAAAUUAAUAAUUUUGAGAACAUGGUAUUUCUUGGACUGUAUAAGAAGCUUGAUAGAGCGGAAAUUUACCUUCACUAGUGGGAGAUAAUCUUCAAUCCUCUUGGAAGCAUAUAUUCUUGUUAAGAGAUGAUUUUGGAUAUCGUACCCAACUCUCAAGGCUGUUGUAAAAGUUGAUGGAUGUUCUAGGAUAUGAAGAUUAGCGAAAGGUUGGCUUUCUAAUCUCUAUAGUAUAUACAAUUUAGCCAAAUUCUUUCGUACGUUAAAAAUUUUUCUUGCCCAACCCACCCUUUGAUAUUGAGUUUAACUUGCGAGUGUUCAGCUGUGUUUGAAUAAUAGUUGGAGGUUAUGUUCAAUUCUACUAGAGAAUUCGUUAUCAUUAGGUUAGAGAUUCUAUUUGUCGGAGAUUUUUUAUUCGAUUCAAAAUAUGAGCUUUGCAAAAAAUAGCGAGAGAAUUAUCCAUAAUUUUUUAAGCUGCUAUUAUUAUUUAGUGAAAGAUGAUCCUGCAUUGUUUAAAAAACUCAAACAUAGCACUUCAUAUGUGUAAUUUAAGGUCCUGAGAUUAGUAGGAGAUGAUCUUCCACUCUUUUGGAAUCACAUAUUGUAGUUAAGAUGUCGUACCUUGCUCCUAAGGCUGUUGUGGAAGUGGAUGAAUGUUCCCAGGUUUGAUUAAAUACUUUUCUUGCCUAAUCAUUUACACAUAAUGUGGGAGUGUUCUGUUGUGUUUGAAGAUUAGUGGGAGGCUCUACUCAAUUUUAGCAAAUUCGUUAUUAUUUGGUGAAAGACGAUUCAACCAGAUUUAAAAAACAUGAACCUAGUAAAUUAUCAUGGAUUGGUCUAAGUGGUAAAAAGGAGUCAGUUUUAAGGAAUCAUGAUGAUUAGUUAUCGACCUAGUGGUAAGGAGGAGUUGUUUCACUAAGAAGUCCUUUGGAUGAAGGUUUUGUUGAAGAAUAGAGGAUAUUUAAGAAUAGGAUGUCCAAGAAUCAAAGAUUAUGUUUGUUAUCUAUGGGAAUAGAAUGUUUGGGGUGUGUGAUAUUAUACUUUUUAUCUAAUUAUAGAGUAUAAAAGUAAUGAGAAUUAAUUGAUCAAUCUUAAGUUUUUAAAAUUUAACUAAAUUUAUCUAUUCACUCAUCCUUCAUUAUAAUAUAUUUAUUAUCAAUUGAAUUUUUAAUAUUAGUAAUUUUAAUAUAUAUAUAUAUAUUAUAGUUUUUUGAUGGGUUAAAUUAAUUUUUUUAAUGUCAAUUAUAAGUUUUAUAUAUACAAAUAAAAAGUCGAUAUAAAUUAAUUGAUUAUGGGUUAAAAUUAGAACAUGUGAACAUUGAAAUUAUUUAUUUAUUUUAUUAUAAGUUAAUUAAUAUUUUUAUUGAUCAAUCAACAAUUUUAAUCAACAAUUUAUGAUGUUAAUAUAUAUUACCAAUAAAAAGGAUUUAAGCAAAUAUAGUUAUGGUCAGAAGAUUGGAUUAAUUCAUAACAAUAGAAUAAAUUAUUACAUUAGCAUUAUUAUCAAUAAAAUUAAUUAUAUAACAUCAAUUAUUAAUAAAAAAAAAUAAAUUAACUAAUAUCGAUAGAGAAGGAAAUCAAACCACAGUAAAAGAAAAAGUGGAAUCAUCGAAAAUGAGAAAAUACAUCUAUUUAGGUGGUUAUGAAGAUCGAGAAUAUGAAAUACUUUAGAAAAUGAUAUUUCUAUUUCUAAGGUUAAAAAUAUGUGUCAAAUAUAGUGAUAGAAUAUCAUUUUUACUUGAGUCAAAUGGGCCAAAAGGCAUCUUAAGAGUGGAUGAAUGUUCUAGUGUAACGGGGUGUAUAUACAAUUUUGCUAAAUUCCUUCAUGGAUUAAAGACUUUCUAGCCUAACCCUUUAUUUAAUAUUGAGUUUAAUGUAUGGGUGUUCAGUUUUGUUGUGUCUGGAACGUAGUGGAUGUCAUAUUCAAAUCUACCCGAGAAUUUAUUAUCCUUUUGGUAAAAGAUAUUCUAUGACACAACAUUUGGGAUUGAUUUGUAAUAAUACGAGUGUUGUAAUGUUUGAAGAUUAGCGGAAGAUGAUUUCCAAUUAUCUUUUGUGAAGUUCCUAUGGGAUGAAUGUCGACUCUUGGAUGUCAACUUAUUGUGUAUUUGUUCUACUAUUCGUGGAUUUGUGGAACAUAUUAUUCUAUUCUACAAGAGAGUUUAUAUCUUGUGGUAAGGGUUGAUGGGUUGGAGAUUAGUGGGAAAUGAUCUUUACUUCUCUUAGAAGCACUUGAAAAGAGAUGAUUUUGUCUUGUAAUAAAGAUUUCUUACCCAACCCUUAACAGUAUUCUAAGAGAAAGCUAUCAUUCAAUUCUCUAUGGUAUAUGUUCGAUAUUGCCAAAUUCCUUCAUACAUAAAAUAUUUUUCUAGCCCAACCCUUAAUAUUGAGUUCAAUGUGUGUGUUCGGUAGUGUUUGAAGAAUAGUGGGGGUUAUAUUGAAUUCCACUAGAGAACUCAUUAUCAUUUGGUAAGAGAUGUUUUUAUUUGUUUAAUAUUUCUAACUCAAAUACUUGGAUUUGAUUCAUAACAUACUAGCAUUGAAGUGUUUGGAGAUCAGCGGGAGAUGAAUUUCAACAAUUCUGUAGGAAACUGAUCAUAUCAUUUGGUGAAAGACAAUCCAAGGUUUCGAUAACUUUUAACUCAACCAUGAGUUUUCUAGGAUUUGAAGAUCAACGGGAGAUUAUUUUCCAAUUCCUAUGGAGUUUAUUGAAUUUUGUCAAACUCUCGGGGUGUUCUACUGUUUGAGGAUUAUUGGAAGAUAUUAUUCAAUUCCUGAAGGCAGUUUAUAUCAUAUGGCUUGGAGAUCAGUGGGAGACAAUCUUCAAUUCUCUUGGAAGCACAUACCAUUGAUAAGGGAUGCUUAUUUUGAGAGCGGAUGAAUGUUCGAGGGUUUGAAGAAUAGUGUAAGUUGGUUCUGAGAUCUCCAUGGAGUAUAUACGAUUUUGUCAAAUUCCUUCAUAUACCUAACGCUUUAAUAUUGAGGUUAUUUCAAUUUCACUAGAGAAUUCAUUAUCUUAUUUAAGAUUUCUCAUUUAGUA